rnacentral:rRNA from 1 species
ACCAGACGAUGCGGGAUCGAAGAUGAUUAGAUACCAUCGUAGUCUUAACCAUCAACUAUGCCGACUAGGGAUUGGCGGACGUUAUUUAUACGACUUCGUCAGCACCGUAUGCGAAAGCAAAGUCUUUGGGUUCCGGGGGGAGUAUGUUCGCAAGAAUGAAACUUAAAGGAAUUGACGGAAGGGCACACCAGGGGUGGAGCCUGCGGCUUAAUUUGACUCAACACGGGAAAACUCACCAGGUCCAGACAAAGUAAGGAUUGACAGAUUGAGAGCUCUUUCUUGAUUCUUUGGGUGGUGGUGCAUGGCCGUUCUUAGUUGGUGGAGUGAUUUGUCUGGUUAAUUCCGAUAACGAACGAGACCCCAACCUGCUAACUAGACUGUGUUAUCUUUCGAUAGCGCAGCGCUUCUUAGAGGGACAUUUCGGAUUUACCGGAAGGAAGUUCGUG